AACGCACGAGACCUGCGGACCUGCGGAAGGAUCAUUACCGAGUUUUCAACUCCCAAACCCCUGUGAACAUACCUAUCGUUGCCUCGGCGAGAGUAGCCCCAGGCGUUGGCGCAAGCCUUCGCCCUGGUAUCAGGCGCUCGCCGGAGGACCCAACUAAACUCUUGUAUUCUAAAGAAUCUUCUGAGUAACCAAAACAAAUAAAUUAAAACUUUCAACAACGGAUCUCUAGAUCGGAAGAGC
rnacentral:misc_RNA from 1 species